GAAUCUAGAUCCAAGUCCGACGAUGUCAGAGACCCUAGUCAGGCUACUACGGUGUGUAUUCAUUCAGUCACUUAUCAUAAAAUUAGUUCAUCCAAGCAAAUACUAAUGAUGACAAAUUGUUGUUCAGUGACAACUUAAAUGAGAGUUACUAAUGAAAUUAAUAGCAUAGCUAUAUCAAACUAAGUUUUGAAAUAAAUUGCAAAAUGAACAUUGAUUUCAAUUCAUCAACUCACUUCCUUUCCGCUUGCAUCUGUCAAUUCACUCUUAAAAGCCCUCCAUCCCCCAUGAGAGCAGAUGAAGCAUUCUGAC
rnacentral:lncRNA from 1 species